UAGCUCAGCAAAAUCAAAUUAGGACCAAGUAACAGAGUUUUUCGAAUUUCUCGAAAGCUAAACGGCUUGUCGAAAUAGUUUAAUUUUUCGCUUCCUCUCGUCGCGAUUUAUUUCCCUUCUGAUAAUAAAUUAUGAUUUUCAAUAGCGAGACAGUGCUUGCCAUUUGAUUAGCGUGCAUACUUUAGAAAUUUAAAAGGCAAUUUGCGAAAAUUUUCAGAUCAUAUUUAAGGUAUAUAUUUCAGAAUUUGGCAGUUGAUACCCAAUUUAAAAACUUGCAAUUAUCAUAAAGAUAUAACCCAAAAUAUACUCUCAUAGGGCAGAGAAAGAAAUGAUCAGAAUUUCGUUAAUAUCUUUCUUGGAAUAAGCAAAAACUGUCCGGCAAUCCGUGCCUUCUGCUCUAGCACUAAAUUUUGCAACUCGUGUAGGAUUGCAGAAUUUGCUCCAUCGGAAAUAAAUCACAGGCAGCAGCUGUAAAAUUGUGACACUCCCCAAGGGGACGAAAAUCUGAUUGCGAGAGAGUUAGGCGUCUGUUCCGCUGCGGCCACGUCUCUCUUGCGACCCUUCCCCGUGGCCGCCGCUGCCGCGUACCGACCGCGACCACUCGACCAGCGCUGGACGAGCGUGUGUUUGUCUCAAGCCAGUGCUUUAAUAGACACGCUGCGAGACGGACCAUUCUGCACACGCAAAAAUCCAUCACUGCCAGAAGUUUUGCAUGUGAAGCCAACGAAGAACAUGCCGCCUUUCGAAAAUGCAACCGACACAGCGUGGAGGAACAUGACGGACCAGGCAAUAAUUGGGAUUACUUUCUUUCUUAUUGUAAUAUUAAUUUUGUUUCUGCACAGCAGAGUCAGAAUUGCACUUGCAUAGGCUGUUUCUCAGACGAGUGCGUGAAAUCCAUGUCGAAAUUCCACCUGAUCAAAGCCGGUGUUUUGGUUGCGGUCGUUGGCGUGCUGCUCAUCUCGGUUUGCAGGAUGGUGAUGCAGCUGUUUGUGCGGUACACCAAUGUCAAGCAGGACAAGUGAAUCUCGUUUACCUUUCCUACAAGUGGACUUUUUUGUAACUUUUGGAACCUUUUGCACGAAUAAAAUUUCUGAUUAAAAUUU